UGCCAGCAGCCGCGGUAAAACCAGCACCUCAAGCGUUAUCCGGAAUCAUUGGGUUUAAAGGGUCCGUAGGCGGAUAAUUAAGUCAGGGGUGAAAGUCUGCAGCUCAACUGUAGGACUGCCCUUGAUACUGGUUAUCUUGAAUCGUUGUGAAGUGGCUAGAAUAUGUAGUGUAGCGGUGAAAUGCAUAGAUAUUACAUAGAAUACCGAUUGCGAAGGCAGGUCACUAACAACGUAUUGACGCUGAGGGACGAAAGCGUGGGGAGCGAACAGGAUUAGAUA
rnacentral:rRNA from 1 species